ACGGAGGGGACUAGCGUUGUUCGGAAUUACUGGGCGUAAAGGGCUCGUAGGCGGCCAACUAAGUCAUACGUGAAAUCCCUCAGCUUAACUGGGGAACUGCGUGUGAUACUGGAUGGCUUGGAUGUGGGAGAGGGAUGCGGAAUUCCAGGUGUAGCGGUGAAAUGCGUAGAUAUCUGGAGGAACAUCGGUGGCGAAGGCGGCAUCCUGGACCAUUAUUGACGCUGAGGAGCGAAAGCCAGGGGAGCAAACGGGA
rnacentral:rRNA from 1 species